UGGGGAAUAUUGCACAAUGGGCGAAAGCCUGAUGCAGCGACGCCGCGUGGAGGAUGAAGGUUUUCGGAUUGUAAACUCCUGUUAAACGGGAAGAAAGACCCAUGGCUAAUAUCCAUGGGGGAUGACGGUACCGUUAGAGAAAGCACCGGCAAACUUCGUGCCAGCAGCCGCGGUAAUACGAAGGGUGCGAGCGUUAUUCGGAAUGACUGGGUGUAAAGAGCGUGUCGGCGGUUUGGUAAGUCAGUCGUUAAAUAGCCCGGCUUAACCGGGCACAGGCGAUUGAAACUGCUAGGCUAGAGUACAAGAGAGAAGAGUGGAAUUCUCGGAGUAGCGGUAAAAUGCGUAGAUCUCGAGAGGAACACCGGUUGCGAAGGCGGCUCUUUGGCUUGUAACUGACGCUUAAGCGCGAAAGCGUGGGGAGCAAACAGG
rnacentral:rRNA from 1 species